CCCAAUGAAAAUGGCGAGAGUGGUCGGAUUUGUCGAUUAGAAACAUCUUUAAAGCCAGACAAUGCAAAUUAUGGAUUUUUACAAUAUCCAAUAUCCAUAUUUUUUUAAAAUCCAUAAUUUGCAUUGUCUGGCUUUAAAGAUGUUUCUAAUCGACAAAUCCGACCACUCUCGCCAUUUUCAUUGGGAAU
rnacentral:miRNA from 1 species